UGGGGAAUUUUGGACAAUGGGCGAAAGCCUGAUCCAGCAAUGCCGCGUGUGUGAAGAAGGCCUUCGGGUUGUAAAGCACUUUUGUCCGGAAAGAAAUCCUCUGGGUUAAUACCUCGGGGGGAUGACGGUACCGGAAGAAUAAGCACCGGCUAACUACGUGCCAGCAGCCGCGGUAAUACGUAGGGUGCAAGCGUUAAUCGGAAUUACUGGGCGUAAAGCGUGCGCAGGCGGUUUUGUAAGACGGAUGUGAAAUCCCCGGGCUUAACCUGGGAACUGCAUUCGUGACUGCAAGGCUAGAGUAUGGCAGAGGGGGGUAGAAUUCCACGUGUAGCAGUGAAAUGCGUAGAGAUGUGGAGGAAUACCGAUGGCGAAGGCAGCCCCCUGGGCCAAAUACUGACGCUCAUGCACGAAAGCGUGGGGAGCAAACAGGAUUAGAUACCCUGGUAGUCCACGCCCUAAAACGAUGUCAACUAGUUGUUGGGGAUUCAUUUCCUUAGUAACGUAGCUAACGCGUGAAGUUGACCGCCUGGGGAGUACGGUCGCAAGAUUAAAACUCAAAUGAAUUGACGGGGUCAUAGCUG
rnacentral:rRNA from 1 species